UACGAAGGGGGCUAGCGUUGCUCGAAAUCACUGGGCGUAAAGCGCGCGUAGGCGGAUCUUUAAGUCAGGGGUGAAAUCCUGGAGCUCAACUCCAGAACUGCCUUUGAUACUGGGGAUCUCGAGUCCGGAAGAGGUGAGUGGAACUCCGAGUGUAGAGGUGAAAUUCGUAGAUAUUCGGAAGAACACCAGUGGCGAAGGCGGCUCACUGGUCCGGUACUGACGCUGAGGUGCGAAAGCGUGGGGAGCAAACAGG
rnacentral:rRNA from 1 species